UAGGGAAUCUUCCACAAUGGACGAAAGUCUGAUGGAGCAACGCCGCGUGAGNGAAGAAGGGUUUCGGCUCGUAAAACUCUGUUGUUAAAGAAGAACAUAUCUGAGAGUAACUGUUCAGGUAUUGACGGUAUUUAACCAGAAAGCCACGGCUAACUACGUGCCUG
rnacentral:rRNA from 1 species